rnacentral:rRNA from 1 species
UACAGAGGUCUCAAGCGUUGUUCGGAAUUACUGGGCGUAAAGCGCACGUAGGCGGACUAUUAAGUCAGGGGUGAAAUCCCGGGGCUCAACCCCGGAACUGCCUUUGAUACUGGUAGUCUCGAGUCCGGAAGAGGUGAGUGGAAUUCCGAGUGUAGAGGUGAAAAUUCGUAGAUAUUCGGAAGGAACACCAGUGGCGAAGGGCGCUCACUGGUCCGGUACUGACGCUGAGGUGCGAAAAGCGUGGGGGAGCAAACAGG